rnacentral:lncRNA from 1 species
CCUUCCCAUAGACUCUAUAUAAAAAAAUACUAGAGUCUAAAACUCAACUGGGGGAAAAAAAAAUCGUAAGGAUAGUAUUGAGCAAUUUCGACAUGCCUGCUCAAGACUUGUCCUUAUUUUUUUAGGCUCUUCAGAUAUUUACCUCUAAACUCUUUCAAGGUUCCUUUGUUAGCAACAUUUGAUCAAUUCAGAUAAGAUACCAAGAUGGUCAUUCAUAUGGUAGUUUACCAUAAACUAUCUAUAUAAACUAAAUAAGAAUUGUAAGAUCAAAUUCAUAAGAAAUUUCUUGUGCAUGGUCAUG